CGGGGUGUAGCUCAGUUGGCUAGAGCGCUCGCUUUGGGAGCGAGAGGCCGAAGGUUCAAGUCCUUUCACCCCGACAA
rnacentral:tRNA from 1 species